AGUGGCCGUCAAAUAGAGUUUUUCUUCGGAACAUCGGUGACAGGUGGUGCAUGGUUGUCGUCAGCUCGUGUCGUGAGAUGUUGGGUUAAGUCCCGCAACGAGCGCAACCCUUAUUGUUAGUUGCCAUCAUUGAGUUGGGCACUCUAGCGAGACUGCCGGUAAUAAACCGGAGGAAGGUGGGGAUGACGUCAAAUCAUCAUGCCCCUUAUGACCUGGGCUACACACGUGCUACAAUGGCUGGUACAACGAGUCGCAAGUCGGUGACGGCAAGCUAAUCUCUUAAAGCCAGUCUCAGUUCGGAUUGUAGGCUGCAACUCGCCUACAUGAAGUCGGAAUCGCUAGUAAUCGCGGAUCAGCACGCCGCGGUGAAUACGUUCCCGGGUCUUGUACACACCGA
rnacentral:rRNA from 1 species